GACGAACCGUGCGAACGUUAUUCGGAAUCACUGGGCUUAAAGCGCGUGUAGGCGGGACGGCACGUCGGUCGCUGAAAUCCCCCGGCUCAACCGGGGAACGGGCGCCGAUACGACCGGCCUGGAGGGACGUAGGGGGACCUGGAACUUCCGGUGGAGCGGUGAAAUGCGUUGAGAUCGGAAGGAACGCCCGUGGCGAAAGCGGCUUCCUGGUCCAGCACCGACGUUCAGGCACGAAAGCGUGGGGAGCAAACAGG
rnacentral:rRNA from 1 species